rnacentral:rRNA from 1 species
GUAGUAGUUAUAUAAGGAUACAUAGUUUAAGGUAAAAUGAUGCUUUUGUAAAGCAUUGAUAGAUGAAGUAUUUUCUUGUUUUCAUUUAAGAUUAGAGUCUGCUGUAAAUAGUUUUGUCUUUGGUUAAAGUACCUUUUGCAUCAUGAUUCUUUGAGAUGUUUAGAUUAUUUCUAGUUCCCGAAUGGCUUAUGAUUUUCAUUGAUUCAUAGCAAGUUUGUGCAUAGAUAAGUUGUUGUGUAAACAUUUGUAGAAAUCAUUGAGGUUGUGAUAAAUAAUUCGUAUAGUCUGAUAACUGGUUUAUAGCUUGAUUAUUUCAACGAAAUAAAGAUUGAUUGUGUUUAUCUUUACUGAUAGAGAUAGUUUAUAUGUUGUUGUUGAGUCUUGGAUUAGAAUUGUCCUAGGAUAAGUUAGUUAUUUACUUGACAUUUUAUUUGUAUGUUUUCUUAUUGUUGAUGGCUAUAUUCUUAAUUAUUUGUUUAAUAAUGAAGAAAUGAGUAGGAUUAUGUUUUAUUAGUCCGUUAUUUGUCUUUAAUUCUGUUCAACUGUUUAUCAAAAACAUUGCUAUUUGUUGGAUUUAAAUAGUAUGGCCUGCCCAAUGUUGUAAAUUAAUGGUCGCAGUUUUACUGUGCUAAGGUAGCAUAAUAUAUCGCUUCUUAAUUAGUGGCUUGUGAAUGGUUUAAUGAAAUAGAAUAUUUAAAUGAUGACUAUAUCUGAAAUUGAUUUAGUGGUGCGGAGUCCAUUGUUAUAAUAUAAGACGGAAAGACCCCGAGAUCUUGAAUUAAUUUUCUAAUUUUGUUUGGGGUAAAUGUAUAUAUUUCAUUUAUUUUUAGAUCCUACAUAUUGAUGGAUAUAGGUUAAAGUUACCUCGGGGAUAACUGAGUAAAGAGUUGUGAGAGGUCUUAUUGAUCAACUUGUUACUACCUCGAUGUUGGCUUAAAGAACCUUUAUGGUGUAGCAGCUAUAUAAGGUGGUCUGUUCGACCAUUAAAUCUUUAUGAGUUGAGUU